AGACCUGUUUUGAACGUGUUAACGCGUGCGGCACGUGCUAAUUUUCGACAGAACGUGAUGUAGUAAUACUUUUUUUGAUAACAGUGUAUAAACGUGAUUAUGGAAAAUGAUCUAAUCUUUUUGUAACAUCUUUUUCGAGGAAGCCAAAAUAAAGUUAAGUAUCGAAACCAUUUCAAUGAUCUGUAAGAGUUGUAUUUAUUAAAGCCACAGAUAUGAUUUCUAUUAGCCAAGUGUGCAUGUGUCCUUAUUUUUUAAUUUCGUAUUAAUAUGAUUUAACAUAGGUAGAUAACUCAGUAGUAAUAUUAAAUGAUAAAAGGGAAAUAAAAGUUUAGCAUGGAUAUUGAAUAUUUGAAAAUUUUUAAUUGUAUUGAAAAUAAUAAACAAAUCAUUAUUCACUGUCACAUGGUUGUUGUGUUUAAAAUUUCGCCAGUUUUGCCAUGGUUCUUUUCUUAUCUUUUUUUUGUUGAGCAGAUUUGUUGUGUGCUUCACAAAUAAAGUGCAUUCUGCACAUUAAAUAAAAACUAACGACAUCAUAGGUCAUUUUUUCUUUGUGUUCAGGACAUCCUACCCUAGUAAUUUGGCCUGUGCAGAGAAUUUCACCCAAUAUAGAGAAUAACGUAGACCUAUUUAAACGUUCUCCCGCAACAGUUUUUGUAAUUGAUUCCUCCAGCUAGAAGUUGUGGAUGAGGAAUUAAGGAUUGAGAAUUAGGUAUAUGCGGUACGGGGAAAUGGUGCAAGGUGAGAACGAGCCUUAGGAGGCGGCCGUUUUUUGGGAACGGUACUGAGGUAUUUAGGCUCGGGAAAAAUUGUCGGUAUUGCUCCGGAUCUGAUAGUAAAUUUGCCUCUUUUUUCGUUAUAAACCUCGCCAGAUGGGAGGGUAACUUCGUAGUUUUUAAGAAUAUAUUCCGGAAGGAAAUGUAAUUCACAGACAUAGUCUGUGAGGUGGAGUUCCUUAUCUUUUCUAGGAAUUUUUCUCCGCCAUGCGAGCAAAUUUUCCUACAGAUUCAAAUAAUUAUAGAUCAGUUGGAGGAGAUGCUAUUGCCCAUCGUAUGUCCAUAAAGAAAAACCUCGACUUCCAAGAUACCUUAUAUGUUUAACUGACAACUACGAUUAUCUACAGAUUAUUACGUAUACUCAUUAUUGUUGAUCACAUCUCAAUAAAACGAUAAAACAAUCGA